CAGCAGCUGGACCUGUAGCAACAAAAGUGUCGGCAAGGACGGUGUACAUUCUGUGCCAGUAAUCAUUAAUAACUUGGAAGAACGGAUCAUGUUGUCUGUCGCUGUGUUGUGUGUGUUAGUCGCUGGCUGUUUCAGCUUCACCAGUGAGCACGCCAAGCUGGUGGCCAUGUUCCAUGAUAUGGACAUUAACCAUAAUGGACUCCUUACUCUUCACGAUAUCGGCGCCUUCUUACAGCACCUUGGACACGAUCCCCACAGUGAUAUAGAGAAGGAGGAGUUUAUGAAAAGCUGGAUGCAGAAGUACGGUGAUA